rnacentral:rRNA from 1 species
UACAGAGGUCUCAAGCGUUGUUCGGAUUCAUUGGGCGUAAAGGGUGCGUAGGUGGCGGGGUAAGUCAGGUGUGAAAUCUCGAGGCUCAACCUCGAAACUGCACUUGAUACUGCCUUGCUCGAGUACUGGAGAGGAGAUUGGAAUUUACGGUGUAGCAGUGAAAUGCGUAGAUAUCGUAAGGAAGACCAGUGGCGAAGGCGAAUCUCUGGACAGUUACUGACACUGAGGCACGAAGGCCAGGGGAGCGAACGGG